AUACUUAACUGAUAGGGGAGAUACCACGAUCAUGAAGGUGGUUUCCCCAGACCAAGGCUUAUCCAUAGAACUCCAGUUGUGCUGACCCCUGCAAUUUCUCCAAAUGCAGGAGGAAACUUGACUGCAUAAUUUAUGGUAGUGGGGAACUGUGCUCGUCCUCUCCCCUU
rnacentral:snRNA from 1 species